rnacentral:rRNA from 1 species
UAAGGAAUAUUGGACAAUGGUCGCAAGACUGAUCCAGCCAUGCCGCGUGCAGGAAGACGGCCCUAUGGGUUGUAAACUGCUUUUGUACCAGGGAAAACCUAUCUACGUGUAGAUAGCUGAUAGUAUGGUAAGAAUAAGCACCGGCUAACUACGUGCCAGCAGCCGCGGUAAUACGUAGGGUGCGAGCGUUAAUCGGAAUUACUGGGCGUAAAGCGUGCGCAGGCGGUCUUGUAAGACAGAUGUGAAAUCCCCGGGCUUAACCUGGGAACUGCGUUUGUGACUGCAAGGCUGGAGUACGGCAGAGGGGGGUGGAAUUCCACGUGUAGCAGUGAAAUGCGUAGAGAUGUGGAGGAACACCGAUGGCGAAGGCAGCCCCCUGGGCCUGUACUGACGCUCAUGCACGAAAGCGUGGGGAGCAAACA